UACGUAGGAGGCAAGCGUUGUCCGGAAUCAUUGGGCGUAAAGCGCGUGUAGGCGGCCAGAAAAGUCCGCUGUGAAAACUCGAGGCUCAACUUCGAGCUGUCGGUGGAAACUUUCUGGCUAGAGUCCGGAAGAGGCGAGUGGAAUUCCUGGUGUAGCGGUGAAAUGCGCAGAUAUCAGGAGGAACACCAAUUGCGAAGGCAGCUCGCUGGGACGUUACUGACGCUGAGACGCGAAAGCGUGGGGAGCAAACAGG
rnacentral:rRNA from 1 species